GGGCUGCGACUCAGUGGUAGAGCAAAUGCUUGGCAUGCAGAAGGUCCCAGGUUCAAGCCCUGGUAUCUCCA
rnacentral:tRNA from 1 species